rnacentral:rRNA from 1 species
GACGAACGCUGGCGGCGCGCCUAACACAUGCAAGUCGAGCGGAGAUAUUUGAAGGAAGUUUUCGGAUGGAAUUUGGGUAUUUUAGCGGCGGACGGGUGAGUAACGCGUGAGUGACCUGCCUUCCACAGGGGGAUAACGUACCGAAAGGUACACUAAUACCGCAUGAGACCACAGCACUGCCUGGUGCAGGGGUCAAAGGAGCAAUCCGGUGGAAGAUGGACUCGCGUCCGAUUAGAUAGUUGGUGGGGUAACGGCCUACCAAGUCAGCGAUCGGUAGGAGACCUGAGCGGGUGAUCGGACACAUUGGAACUGAGAGACGGUCCAAACUCCCACGGGAGGCAGCAGUGGGGAAUAUUGGGCAAUGGGGGAAAACCUGACCCAGCGACGCCGCGUGAGGGAAGAAGGUUUUCGGAUUGUAAACCUCUGUUCUUGGUGAAGAGGGAAAGACGGUAGCCAAGGAGGAAGCCCCGGCUAACUACGUGCCAGCCGCCGCAGUAA